ACGGACUGGGCGGUGAGAGAGAAACCCUUUUGUAUGAUCGAGACCCAUGAGCAGCUCUCCGAAGAUUUAAAGUAAAUCAAGAAAGACGCGAAGGGUUCAUCCAUAUCGAGGUUGAUUUCAGCGAACCCAACAAGAAUCUGAUUUUCCAGUCAAAAACAUACAAAUGACAUGCAGUUGCCUGUAAUUUUGAAGCUUUCAGGAGCUGGCUGCUUGUUGAACUUAUCUAGAGGACUCGACACCAUAAAAGAUUUUGAGGUCCUCGGUGGUCUCAUGCCAAAUAUAUAUUGUCAGAGCAAAUCUUGCAAAAAAGGCUCCUGAUGUUAAUUUCAGCCACUGGAAGCCUCUUUUCCAUAGACUCUGGCUGGUGUUGCUGUUGCUGUAUAUGCUGCUGGUGACACUUAGUCGAUGAAGUUAUGCCCUCACAACCGCAGAAGUCAUAAACAACUCAUAAGUGGAUAAGGGAAGGGCUCUUAGGUAGCAUGGACCACAGGUCAUGCAUACAUCUGCAGAUUCUUACAGAAAGAUUCAUGGGUAAGCAUGACUCUUGGACAUGAUGAGGAUUAAUAAUUGGACAUACUUGCGUCGGCCGUCAAUUACACUUGAGCUACUUAGCAUAAGGGGAAGCUGGGAUUAUGACACUAAUGAUGAGAAUCCUGGUUAAGAUGAUCAUCAGUAUUAUUCAUUACAAUUGUAUCUCUCAGACCUGGGGAGACUUGGAUUUGCCGUAUGUCUGUCAUCUUAAGAUCAACAUCGGAAGAGGCAUUGUUCAACUUCUGCUGCUGGACAAGUGGACCCAACCUAGAUGGCAUGAACAGAUGUUAGUUUUUUUCACGAGAAACACAUCAUUCAGUUUGAUUUGAAGACUGCUUAGAUCUUUCUUAUACUAUGUUCUUGAUCCCAUGGGACCAAAACUUGUCUGGUUCUAGGAAGCAACUCGCAUCAUAAGAUUACAAAAGGUCAUGUAUCAGUCAGUAUCCAUUAAAAAGAAGUGACCCGUGUAUCAGGAUCUCUAGCUGCGGGACUCAGUGCCAUGUCAUUGUCUUCUUCCCCCACGAACUCUCUCCAUCUCAGAUCGUUGAACCUUUUACUGUCACAGACAGCAUGAACGAAGAACAAUGAUAAAAAAAAAAUGCAGGUGACUCGGAACUACAUUCUGUUUUGACCCUACAGAUUGCAAAGUAGGUAUCAGGAUCACCCAUGUGGGUGUGAAGGCCUGUGAAGCAUUUUUGCGUUCUAGGGUUCAUACCCAUGACUCCCAAGAUCACAGAGCUGAAGACAGCCAAGACGAAGGCAAGGUUUCAAUGGUGUCAUAAUGAAUGCACUUAUUACAUUGCCAUUUUACAUUUUCCAUUAAAUGGUACCAUCUUUUAAUGUGCAUAAAUGCCGUUAGUGAAUAUUCAAACUAAUGAUUUCAAGCAAGAAUUUAUCUUUUUUUGAUGGAAAUUUCAAUGGAAGAAAAUUGUGGAGGGUAAAUGUGGAAUUUCACAGUGGCAAGUUAUAUAA